rnacentral:rRNA from 1 species
AUUGAACGCUGGCGGCAUGCCUAACACAUGCAAGUCGAACGGCAGCAUGAUAAGAGCUUGCUCUUAUUGAUGGCGAGUGGCGGACGGGUGAGUAAUAUGUAGGAAUCUACCUAGAGGUGCGGGAUAACUUGGGGAAACUCAAGCUAAUACCACAUAAGCCCCACGGGGGAAAGCAGGGGAUCUUAGGACCUUGCGCCUUAUGAUGAGCCUACAUCGGAUUAGCUAGUUGGUGGGGUAAAGGCCUACCAAGGCGACGAUCCGUAGCUGGUCUGAGCGGAUGAUCAGCCACACUGGGACUGAGACACGGCCCAGACUCCUACGGGAGGCAGCAGUGGGGAAUAUUGGACAAUGGGCGCAAGCCUGAUCCAGCAAUGCCGCGUGUGUGAAGAAGGCCUUAGGGUUGUAAAGCACUUUCAGUGGGGAGAAAGUUACGGGUGUUAAUACCAUUCGUAAUUGAUGUUACCCACAGAAGAAGCACCGGCUAACUCUGUGCCAGCCGCCGCGGUAACAC